rnacentral:misc_RNA from 1 species
AUCUAUCUAACCAAGAAUCACGCACAAUAACAGAAACAGGUAAGCAUUUGAUUUUAUUUACCUUAGCUAAUUUAAUCCAAAACAAUAAAUAUUUAUAAAAUCCAUUUACCACCAAAUAAUAGCGUGAUCGCAAAUUGCGUCAUCUCACACAAAACGUGACAACCUGUUAACACUUAAGUAUGAAUGUUCUAGAAUCUCAGCUAAUCAACUUAACUGGUCAGACCUAAUUUUCGUCAUAAUUAGAUAACAAUGCACAAAA